GGGGAUGUAGCUUAGUGCUAGAGCAUUUGCCUAGCAUGCAUGAGGCCCUGGGCUCAAUUUUCAGCAUUGCAA
rnacentral:tRNA from 1 species